GGAUCAAGACAAAGAACAGCGGAAGCGCGCAGACGAACCCUAAUUACCAAACCCUACUGGCUUUCAAGCCUCGCCAGGUAUUGCUCGCCGAGAGAAACACUAAGGUGACGACGAUGAAGCAAUGCAGCAACUGCGAAACCCUAGCCCUGAAUCCUGAUCAGAAGCCCUUCUUCUCUAAUCGGUCCUCGGCUACCCCGAUCGCAAUGGCUUCUCCAGAGCUCUCAAACGCUUACUUUCCGAAGCUCAAAUCGAGGCCUCAGAGCAAGUUCAAUAGUAGUCAUUUUUGGUGCUGAACCCAUAAUUUGGAACCAGAGAAUAGAACUUUGAGCUCCGAUGCGGAGCCAAAUUUUGGUUCAAUAUUUGUAUGUAAUAGUCAAUAACCGUGCUCCAAACCCUAGCCCGACACCAUUGUUUCAUUCAUGCUACCAUUGACGCCAUAUGUGUUGGCGGCGUGCCGUUGCGAGGGCCGCGGAUGCCUGGGUUGUAGCAAUGACGGUGCGUUGUCGUUUCUACUCCGGUCAAACUAGCCAUUCUGGGACAUGUCUGUGGAGUCGGGCUUGGGUUCAUCAGCUGAGGGCGGAAAUAUCAGAGGAACUCCCACCCAUGGUGGACGCUACGUCCAGUACAAUGUCUACGGUAACCUAUGCUACGUCCUGUCGGCCGCGGUGCUUACGGUAUCAUUUGGCAAUUCCAAACGAUCGACAGUGCAUUGUUGUUCCUUCUCCGGUCAGAAGACCUGUCCGCUUACUGCAAGCUCUUGAAGUGCUUCGUUGUUGUCUCCGACAAUGCCCCUCUUCUCUCUUCGUUUUAUCCCGACUGUCGUUCGUCCCAACACGAGGUCUCUCCUAAUCCUCUCUAUUUUUGGUUGUACACAAUAUGGCAUGAUUGGUUACGGGGUAAUUGUUGCGGUGUUUAAUUUUAUUUUUUUAGAUACUUUAUUCCACUAUUCUAUGCACGAUUUGGAUAGAGAUAGCAGGGUUGUAUAGAUCGGUAAAAAUUACAUAUGGACAUGACGAAAACAUAUGGAAAACACGGUAUAUCCCUGUGCAUUGGCCUAUGCGUUUCAAAUGAAAGAGAUGAUCUUUGGCCCAUUUACUUUCUGCACAUGUUUCAUGUUAAGCAUCGAGAGAAAAAAUGAAAAUAUUGAGGGUGUCAUAGGUGAGGCAGAUUCCGAUAUAGCAUGUUUAGGAUUUGAUGUGAACAACAUUGUUGUCCAGUUCACACGUUCAUACAACUGGCUAGGUUGUGCUGUAUUUAUUUAUUCUCUCUGAGUUGGUUUACUCAUGAUUUAUCAUUUUCUUUUUUUCUCUGUGUUUGCUUGAGCAAGGGUAUGUUAAGAAUAUAUAUACUACCAAAUUGUGCUGUAGGAGUGGCCCUCAUUGAGUACUAGAUAGGUAUCUGUUUGACCUUGCAUUUACGUGUAACCAAAGAUGGGUCUAGCUUCGGUUUAAGAGUGAAGGUGCCUAUAAUUCUUUAUCUGGAUUCUGUCAUUGUGGGAGGUGUCUAAUUAUCAGGAAACUAGUCAUAGAUACAGUUAUGCACCUGGAUAUGUAGUUCUGCUAGUUUUGAUGCAUUCAUUAUCCCCCAGGUGACCAAACAACGGUUACACCCCUUCUUACUAAACUCUGCUUGAUGACACGAUCUAUGACUAGGGAAAGAAUUAGUCUACUGAAACUUUGCCCUCCAUGUACGUUACUUGAAGUGGGCAAGGCACUGGAAGCGACAAAGCUGGUGUUAGAUAUAAUUAGUAAUAAAAGAACUGAUGCAUAGUUCUUAGAGAGGAUGAUGCUAGAGAUUGAAGGGCGGGCCCAAACUAGCCAUUCUCAAUUGCAUGUUAGCGCAGAUGACGAUAAGGAUACCAACCAAACUCUUUAUGUUAAUUCUUACAUCGGUUGUGCUAAUGGGUCGACUGAUCCAGAAGUUGUGCUGGUUAAAACACAAGAAACUGAUCUUUUGGUGGAGUUGCUUGGGAAAAUUUUAUGACAGGUUGAAAGUGAUGGAGGAUCUGAUAUUUGGGGACUAUAUGGAAGUUGGCACAAACUUAAAGGUGAUCCCUCAAUGUGCUCCGAGGCUCAUCUAAAGCAAGUUAUGUUACGCCCUACCUUUUCUUUUUCCAAAUAAUAUAUUUUUUUUAAAAUUCGGCAUUUAUAGUACGAUCCUAUUUAACUAUUUUGUGCACAUUAGAGGUAUAAUUGUCAUUAUUAUGGAUUGAAGGGUAUAAGUCUAAUUAAUUUAUGUAAUUAGUGGUGUACCAUAAUUAAUUACUUUAGGUAAUCAAUCGGCUAGAAGUAAGGGUUUUGUGAGUUAUGAGUAGUUUUAUAAAGUUACGCUUAAGGAGAUAUUCACAUCAUACUAGGGUUAUAUUUUGAUAGAAUAUUGAAAAGGCUUUUUGAGAGAGAGCAUCAACCAUAGUCUUAGGGUUCUUUGGAGCCAAUAUUACAUCACGGUUUUUGAACUCGUUCUUGAUCUAGCGUCGGGGUACGUAAUAUUAUUUUGGUUUGUUUCCUUUCUUUGGAGAAGUAACAUUUUUAGAGGGGAUCAAGUUAUUGGGUUGCCUGUUUUGGUAUUUAAUUUACUUGGGAGAAUAUGUGAUUUUGGUGGAGGAUUGUUAUGAGAGAGAGAGAGAGAGAGAGAGAGAGAGAGAGAGAGAGGGGGGGGGGGAGUGUUGGAGGUUUUGGUGAUGUGUAUGUAUGCGUGGAUGUACGGGGUGAGUUGGGGUAGUUUGCGUUUUUGACUUCUGCUUAUGUAUAGUAUAUACACAACGAAUCUAGUUUUAUUGUAGAGUAUCAAGAGUCGGUGAAGCUUUGGUGGUUUUGGUGAUGUGUGUGUAUGUGUGGUUGUACGUGGUGUGUUGGGGUAGUGUGUGUUUGAGUUCUGCUUGUAUAUCGUAUACACAAAGAAUCUAGUUUUAUUGUAGAGUAUAAAUCUAGUUUUGUUGGUUGAAUAUUUUUAAAAGGAACAAGAGGCUGUAGAACUUGGAAGUAGUUUUUGGUACGUGGAUACUUGAGAGUUGAAUUAGUUUUAAGGAUAGUUAAUUACUUUUAGGGUAGCGGUAAGUUGCUCUAGGUAAUAUUAUAUAUGAAACAGUUAGUGAUUCCAUAUGGUUCAUUAUGUACAGGUUAGUCUCUUGUUGCGUGUAAGUAUUCCAUGUCUAUAUGAUCAUCAAUGAUAUGCCUACAUUUUCUUUUUCCAAAUAAUUUUUAUUUCUAAAAAUUCGGCAUUUAUAGUACAAUCAUAUUUAACUAUUUUGUGCACAUUAGAGGUAUAAUUGUCAUUAUUAUGGAUUUGAGGGUAUAAGUCUAAUUAAUUAUGUAAUUAGUGGUGUACCAUAAUUGAUUACCUCAGGUAAUCAAUUGGCUAGAAGUAAGGGUUUUGUGAGUUAUGGGUAGUUUUAUAAAGUUACUCUCACGGAGAUAUUCACUCCAUACUAGGGUUAUAUUUUGAUAGAAUAUUGAGAGGCUUUGGGAGAGAGAGCAUCGGUCAUAGUCUUAGGGUUCUUUGGAACCGAUCUUACACCAUGGUUUUUGAACUCAUUCUCGAUCUUCCGUCGGGUUACGUAAUAUUAUUCUUGUUUGUUUCCUUACUUUGGAGCAGUAACAUUUUUAGAGUAGAUCAAGUUGUUGGGUUGCAUGUUUUGGAAUUUAAUUUACUUUGGAAAAUUUGUGAUUUUGGUGUUGGAUGAGAGAGAGAGAGAGAGAGAGAGAGAGAGAGAGAGAGAGAGAGAGAGAGAGGAGUGUUGGUGGUUUUGGAGACGUAUUUAUGUAUGCGUGGCUGUAGGUGGUGAGUUGGGGUAGUGUCCGUCUUUGACUUCUACAUGUAUAUAGUCUAUGUAAAGAAUCUAGUUUUAUUGUAGAUUAUGAAAUGACGGUGAAGUGUUGGUGGUUUUAGUGAUUUGUGUGUAUGUGUGACUCUACGUGGUGAGUUGGGUUAGUGUGUGUGUUUGACUUCUUGUUGUAUAUAGUAUACACAAAUAAUCUAGUUUUAUUGUAGAGUAUAAAUCUAGUGUUAUUGGUUCAAUGUUUUUUUAAAGGAACGUGAGGCUUUGGAACUUGUAAGUGGUUGGUACGUCCGUACGUGGUUCAAACUACUUGGAGAUAAAGAGUUUUAGGUUGGUAGUUGACUAGGGACUUGAGAGUUGAUUUAGUUUUAAGGAUAGUUAAUUACUUUUUUGGUAGCCCUAAGUUUCUCUUGGUAGUAUUAUUUUUGAAACAAUCAGUGAUUUCUUAUGGCUAGUUAUGUACAGGUUAGUCUCUUGUUGCUUGUUAGUAUUCCAUGUCUAUAUGAUGAUCAUCAAUGUUACGCCCAACGUUUUUUUUUUCCUAAUAAUUAUUUUUGCUAAAAAUUCGGCAUUUAUAGUACGGUCAUAUGUUAACUAUUUUGUGUACAUUAGAGGUAUAAUUGUCAUUAUUAUUAAUUUGAGGGUACAAGUCUAAUUAAUUUUUGUAAUUUGUGGUGUACUAUAAUUAAGCACUUUAGGUAAUCAAUCGGCUAGAAGUAAGGGUUUUGUGAGUUAUGGGUAGUUUUAUAAAGUUACUCUCAAGGAAAAAUUCACAAACAUACUAGGGUUGUAUUGUAAUAGAAUGUUGAGAGAAGGCUUUGCGAAAGAGAGCAUCAGCAUAGUCUUAGGGUUCUUUGGAGCCGAUCUUACCCCACGAUUUUCGAACUCCUUUCCGAUCUUCCGUCGGGGUACGAAUUUUAUUCUUGUUUGUUUCCUUACUUUGGAGGUAUAACAUUUUUAGAGGGGAUCAAGUUAUUGGGUUGCAUGAUUUGGUAUUUAAUUUACUUGGGAGAAUAUGUGAUUUGGUGGAGGAUUGUUAUGA